AUGCAGGGGCCGGUUGCAAGGGGAGAGUGGGAGGGGGAGGGGAGUGCUCUGAUCCCACGCACCCCUCUGCAAAUCCAAUUCCACUGGGGAGAGGGUACGAGGCAGAAGAGCGGAGCUCAGCAGAAAUGGUGGCCCCGGAUGAGUGUGGGCUCCCUGAAGCUAGAAGGCGCAGGAGGAGCCCUGUGGGCCCGAAGCGGAGCGCGCCGGGCGACUGGGCAUGGCGCGCGGGGGCGCACGGGGCGGACGCGCAGCCCCCGGGGGGCGCGGGGCGGCGCUCACUCACGCGGCCUCUCCCCCGCCCGCAGCCCCGCCGCAGCCCCGAGCCGUCCUCGCGGUCUCCCGGCUGCCAAGGAUGGUUUGCCAACACACAUGCACUUCGCUGGAGGAUGUCUCGGCAAUCCCGCCUCCCGCCCGGCGUCCUUGGCGACGCUCUGCACCAGGGCCUGCCCCGAGGUCACGCAGGAAAGACAAAAGGGCAGUCCGAUCGCUGCAGCCGUGCAGAAAUAUCCACGGGGUCAGCACCCCAGCACAGGAAAUCCGAGAGGCGAAGUUGAGGACCAGAGCUCCCGCGAAGACCUCGUGGGCACCGGCUGGAGCAGGACUUACAGCCGGGCAAGCCGGAAGGAGCCGACAGGCAAAGGCCAAGGUGGAGGUGUCCGCGACCCGGGCCCUGCAGGGGUGUCCUGCAGGGUGGCUGGGGGGCCGGCGGGUCGGUGGGAUCCGCGACUCCGGGAACGGCCCGGCCGCGGUGCGUGCGCGCGGGUGGCAGCCCCUGUGGUCUCCCGGAGACGCCGCAGCUCCGCGCAGACACCUGAUGGCAAAGGUAGAAGAGAUGACCGCCGGCCGAGGCAGCCGCCCACCAGUAGAUCCUCCUCCUCCAAGUGCAGGAACUUUUCCCAAGGUUUUGAGUCGCGUGCCCCACGGCCACGGUGGGGGUCCGCCCGCCGACGUCGCGACGCCGCCCGGCUCCGAGUCCUGCACCUGCCUCGGCUGCGGCAGCCCCUUCCCCUCUCCCGGCUGCCCUGCCGCUUCCUGGGCCUCCUCCUCCGGGGAGAGAGAGGGCAGGCGGCGGCUCGGCCGGCUCCGGAGUCCCCGGCAAGUGUCUAA
rnacentral:lncRNA from 1 species